ACUUUCCAGCAGUGGCGGCUGGCUGGGGGCUGCCAAAAACUUGGGUUAGCUUGCCUUCCCGACUCUGGACCAGCUGCCAUGGAAGGGUUCGUGUUAUGUAGGAAAAUGAAGAGAGGAAGCACUAUGCAUGAAACCAAGUUUAUGAAUGAAAGAACCAAUUCACUGAACUGAAAGAACUAAUCACUGUCCUGAUUCUUGGCAAAACACUUGUGUUAACAAGCCAAGCCAAGCCAAGCCAAGCCAAGCCAAGCCAAGCCAAGCCAAGCCAAGCCAAGCCAAGCCAAGCCAAGCCAAGCCAACCAACAAACCAAAUAGGUUUAGUGCUCUUUCAAAAGUCCUGUGUUUAUAAAGAGACUAAAUAAAUCUGAGAAAUGCAAUGGAAACCAUCACUUAGGCAUUACACAAGCAUAUGGCUGUGCAGAAGCCUGGUGUCCAGUUUUUCUACAGUCCAAGUCAAAAUGGGCCUAGAAGACAACAGUUAUAUCAGAAGAAGAAGGAACUGCCUUUUUUAAACUGUAGCAAUUAAGAAUGCCUUCAAAUAGCUUCACAUAUGGACUGAAGAUGACUUAAAGGCAGUAGAUAGGCAGUAGAAAAACUGUUCAUGAAGCAGUCAUGGUCACAGAAAACGGAGAAAAAGCCUAGGGCCUUUCCAUGACUACUUCAGCUUUGUUCAUGGUAUUUAUGUACAAUACUCCAUUAAAAAUAUCAGAAGGUAAA